rnacentral:lncRNA from 1 species
UCUUAUCUCCUUAUCUUCAGAAGUCUCCGUUGAAAGGUCAUGUCUUAUUUACUGCAUUGCAUUGGAGAAAAUUAUUGGAGAGAAGAGCAUAUGAUGAAUAUAAUUAUGGAAUACGACCAUUUCAUAAAAUUAAAGAAAUUUCUCUAUCAAGCUCUUUAUCAAAAUAUGACUCUUCUGUGUACUCUUUAUGUUGUGAUUCUCUAUUUCUAUACUUCUAUCUCUCAAAUUUUAAAAUUGAGUAUUAUUUUAUUCAAAUUUAAAUAAUUUAAGAUGUAAUAAUAAAGCUUCUAGACAUAAAUCAGAUAAAUAAUCCAUUAUUAUUUUUAUCCAAAAUUAGAUUUUUGAAAUCUA